CCUACGGGAGGCAGCAGUGAGGAAUAUUGGUCAAUGGACGAGAGUCUGAACCAGCCAAGUAGCGUGAAGGAUGACUGCCCUAUGGGUUGUAAACUUCUUUUAUAUGGGAAUAAAACGUUCCACGUGUGGGAUGUUGUAUGUACCAUAUGAAUAAGGAACGGCUAACUCCGUGCCAGCAGCCGCGGUAAUACGGAGGAGUCGAGCGUUAUCCGGAUUUAUUGGGUUUAAAGGGAGCGUAGGUGGAUUGUUAAGUCAGUUGUGAAAGUUUGCGGCUCAACCGUAAAAUUGCAGUUGAAACUGGCAGUCUUGAGUACAGUAGAGGUGGGCGGAAUUCGUGGUGUAGCGGUGAAAUGCGUAGAUAUCACGAAGAACUCCGAUUGCGAAGGCAGCUCACUGGACUGCAACUGACACUGAGGCUCGAAAGUGUGGGUAUCAAACAGGAUUAGAUACCCGAGUAGUC
rnacentral:rRNA from 1 species